rnacentral:misc_RNA from 1 species
GAUGAAGAACGUAGCGAAAUGCGAUAAGUAAUGUGAAUUGCAGAAUUCAGUGAAUCAUCGAAUCUUUGAACGCACAUUGCGCCCGCCAGUAUUCUGGCGGGCAUGCCUGUUCGAGCGUCAUUUCAACCAUCAAGCCCUGCUUGCGUUGGGGUCCUGCGGCUGCCCGCAGGCCCUGAAAACCAGUGGCGGGCUCGCUAGUCACACCGAGCGCAGUAAUACAUCUCGCUUUGGGCGUGCGGCGGGUUCUUGCCGUUAAACACCCCCUUUUUACCAAGGUUGACCUCGGAUCAGGUAGGAAUACCCGCUGAACUUAAGCAUAUCAUAAGCGGAGGA